rnacentral:misc_RNA from 1 species
GUUUCAAUUAGAAACAUGCAAGUUUUUCUAAAUGGAAAUAUUGUCAAGCCUUCAUUAGAGGAUCCUUUCUAUCUUCCAUGGAUCGUUGCAACAAUAUGAUAGUGGCAUGGCUCUUAAGGUCAAUUUCUCCUCCAACUACAUCAAUUGUUUUUUUACAUGGCAGAUGCUAUACAAAUUUGGGAAAAGAUGAAUCAAAGAUUUUUGUAGGCAAAUGAUUCUCGUAUUUGUCAUCUCCAACAUCUUUUAUGCACUAUCACUUAAGGUACCAAGUUUGUUGACUUGAUUCUCAUAUCUCAAGUCUCCAUUUGUUGUGGUUGGCUCGCUAGAGGGAGGAAAGGUUAUCAACA